rnacentral:lncRNA from 1 species
UUCUACUGAAAACAACGUCAGUCCUGGUUAGUUCCAUUCAAAUCAUGCAAAUUAGAGUCCAAAACAAGGGCAAAGGAGUUUGGAAAAGUAGAUACGAUGGAGACGUAUCAGCAGACCAGGUGGCUUGUUUCAAUCGGCCCUCGUCCUUCUCAUCUAGUUUCACAAGGGCGGCUUUUUUGGCUACAGUCAACUCCUUAAAAAUCAGAUACUCAGCCAUGACCUGUUCAAGUUCUCUCAAUGUAACUCGAAGUUUUUCCUCUGUUGCGGCCCUGGCGUCUUGUUGACACCCAGACUUUUUCUCAUCCCGCUUAGGGAUGCAUCAUUUUGAC